rnacentral:rRNA from 1 species
ACAUCCAGCGAAUUCGGUAGAGAUACCUUAGUGCCUUCGGGAACGCUGAGACAGGUGCUGCAUGGCUGUCGUCAGCUCGUGUUGUGAAAUGUUGGGUUAAGUCCCGCAACGAGCGCAACCCUUAUCCUUUGUUGCCAGCGGUCCGGCCGGGAACUCAAAGGAGACUGCCAGUGAUAAACUGGAGGAAGGUGGGGAUGACGUCAAGUCAUCAUGGCCCUUACGAGUAGGGCUACACACGUGCUACAAUGGCGCAUACAAAGAGAAGCGACCUCGCGAGAGCAAGCGGACCUCAUAAAGUGCGUCGUAGUCCGGAUUGGAGUCUGCAACUCGACUCCAUGAAGUCGGAAUCGCUAGUAAUCGUAGAUCAGAAUGCUACGGUGAAUACGUUCCCGGGCCUUGUACACACCGCCCGUCACACCAUGGGAGUGGGUUGCAAAAGAAGUAGGUAGCUUAACCUUCGGGAGGGCGCUUACCACUUUGUGAUUCAUGACUGGGGUGAAGUCGUAACAAGGUAAGCGUAGUGCU